GAUGAACGCUGGCGGCGUGCCUAAUACAUGCGAGUCGAGCGAACAGACGAGGAGCUCGCUCCUCUGACGUUAGCGGCGGACGGGUGAGUAACACGUGGAUAACCUACCUAUAAGACUGGGAUAACUUCGGGAAACCGGAGCUAAUACCGGAUAAUAUAUUGAACCGCAUGGUUCAAUAGUGAAAGACGGUUUUGCUGUCACUUAUAGAUGGAUCCGCGCCGCAUUAGCUAGUUGGUAAGGUAACGGCUUACCAAGGCAACGAUGCGUAGCCGACCUGAGAGGGUGAUCGGCCACACUGGAACUGAGACACGGUCCAGACUCCUACGGGAGGCAGCAGUAGGGAAUCUUCCGCAAUGGGCGAAAGCCUGACGGAGCAACGCCGCGUGAGUGAUGAAGGUCUUCGGAUCGUAAAACUCUGUUAUUAGGGAAGAACAAAUGUGUAAGUAACUAUGCACGUCUUGACGGUACCUAAUCAGAAAGCCACGGCUAACUACGUG
rnacentral:rRNA from 1 species